UCCACCGCCACCACCGCCGCCACCACCUCCACCACGCCGCCUCUGCCGGAGCCGUUGCCGGCGGAACCUUGGCCCGAGCAAGGUCAAGGAGCCCUUCGGAGAUGGCGGCGACGUGCCCGAAGUCGCCGCUCACCAGGACGACGUGGUGGUGAGCGUCGUCAAGGUGAAGAAGUCGCCACUCACCAGGACGACGUGGUGGUGAGCGUCGUCAAGGUGAAGAAGUCGCCACUCACCAGGACGACGUGGACGUGGUGGUGAGUGUCGUCAAGGUGAAGAAGUCGCCACUCACCAGGACGUGGUGGUGGUGGUGGUGGUGGUGGUGAGCGUUGUCAAGGUGAAGAAGUCGCCGCUCACCAGGACGACGUGGUGGUGGUGGUGGUGAGCGUUGUCAAGGUGAAGAAGUCGCCACUCACCAGGACGACGUGGUGGUGGUGGUGGUGAGUGUCGUCAAGGAGAAGAUGUCGCCACUCACCAGGACGACGUGGUGGUGGUGGUGGUGGUGAGUGUUGUCAAGGAGAAGAAGUCGCCACUCACCAGGACGACGUGGUGGUGGUGGUGGUGGUGAGCGUCGUCAAGGUGAAGAAGUCGCCACUCACCAGGACGACGUGGUGGUGAGUGUCGUCAAGGAGAAGAAGUCGCCACUCACCAGGACGACGUGGUGGUGGUGGUGGUGGUGAGUGUCGUCAAGGAGAAGAAGUCGCCGCUCACCAGGACAACGUGGUGGUGGUGGUGGUGAGUGUCGUCAAGGUGAAGAAGUCGCCACUCACCAGGACGACGUGGUGGUGGUGGUGGUGGUGAGCGUCGUCAAGGUGAAGAAGUCGCCACUCACCAGGACGACGUGGUGGUGAGUGUUGUCAAGGUGAAGAAGUCACCGCUCACCAGGACGACGUGGUGGUGAGUGUCGUCAAGGUGAAGAAGUCGCCACUCACCAGGACGACGUGGUGGUGGUGGUGGUGGUGAGCGUCGUCAAGGUGAAGAAGUCGCCACUCACCAGGACGACGUGGUGGUGGUGGUGGUGGUGAGCGUCGUCAAGGUGAAGAAGUCGCCACUCACCAGGACGUGGUGGUGGUGAGCGUCGUCAAGGUGAAGAAGUCGCCACUCACCAGGACGACGUGGUGGUGGUGAGCGUCGUCAAGGUGAAGAAGUCGCCGCUCACCAGGACGACGUGGUGGUGGUGGUGAGCGUUGUCAAGGUGAAGAAGUCGCCACUCACCAGGACGACGUGGUGGUGGUGGUGGUGGUGAGCGUCGUCAAGGAGAAGAAGUCGCCACUCACCAGGACGACGUGGUGGUGGUGGUGGUGGUGAGUGUUGUCAAGGUGAAGAAGUCGCCGCUCACCAGGACGACGUGGUGGUGGUGGUGGUGGUGGUGGUGAGUGUCGUCAAGGUGAAGAAGUCGCCGCUCACCAGGACGACGUGGUGGUGGUGGUGGUGAGUGUUGUCAAGGUGAAGAAGUCGCCACUCACCAGGACGACGUGGUGGUGGUGGUGGUGGUGGUGGUGAGCGUCGUCAAGGUGAAGAAGUCGCCACUCACCAGGACGAUGUGGUGGUGAGUGUCGUCAAGGUGAAGAAGUCACCACUCACCAGGACGACGUGGUGGUGGUGGUGGUGGUGGUGGUGAGCGUCGUCAAGGUGAAGAAGUCGCCACUCACCAGGACGUCGUGGACGUGGUGGUGGUGGUGGUGAGUGUCGUCAAGGUGAAGAAGUCGCCACUCACCAGGACGACGUGGUGGUGGUGGUGGUGAGUGUCGUCAAGGUGAAGAAGUCGCCGCUCACCAGGACGACGUGGUGGUGAGUGUCGUCAAGGUGAAGAAGUCGCCGCUCACCAGGACGUCGUGGACGUGGUGGUGGUGGUGGUGAGUGUCGUCAAGGUGAAGAAGUCGCCACUCACCAGGACGACGUGGUGGUGGUGGUGGUGAGCGUCGUCAAGGUGAAGAAGUCGCCACUCACCAGGACGACGUGGUGGUGGUGGUGGUGAGCGUCGUCAAGGUGAAGAAGUCGCCACUCACCAGGACGACGUGGUGGUGAGUGUCGUCAAGGUGAAGAAGUCACCGCUCACCAGGACGACGUGGUGGUGGUGGUGGUGGUGAGCGUCGUCAAGGUGAAGAAGUCGCCACUCACCAGGACGACGUGGUGGUGGUGGUGGUGGUGAGUGUCGUCAAGGUGAAGAAGUCGCCACUCACCAGGACGACGUGGUGGUGGUGGUGGUGGUGAGUGUCGUCAAGGUGAAGAAGUCGCCACUCACCAGGACGACGUGGUGGUGGUGGUGGUGGUGAGUGUCGUCAAGGUGAAGAAGUCGCCACUCACCAGGACGACGUGGUGGUGGUGGUGGUGGUGAGUGUCGUCAAGGUGAAGAAGUCGCCGCUCACCAGGACGACGUGGUGGUGGUGGUGAGUGUCGUCAAGGUGAAGAAGUCGCCGCUCACCAGGACGACGUGGUGGUGGUGGUGGUGGUGAGCGUCGUCAAGGUGAAGAAGUCGCCGCUCACCAGGACGACGUGGUGGUGGUGGUGAGUGUCGUCAAGGUGAAGAAGUCGCCACUCACCAGGACGACGUGGUGGUGGUGGUGGUGGUGAGCGUCGUCAAGGUGAAGAAGUCGCCACUCACCAGGACGACGUGGUGGUGGUGGUGGUGAGUGUCGUCAAGGUGAAGAAGUCGCCGCUCACCAGGACGACGUGGUGGUGGUGGUGAGUGUCGUCAAGGUGAAGAAGUCGCCGCUCACCAGGACGACGUGGUGGUGGUGGUGGUGGUGAGCGUUGUCAAGGUGAAGAAGUCGCCGCUCACCAGGACGACGUGGUGGUGGUGGUGGUGGUGGUGAGUGUCGUCAAGGUGAAGAAGUCGCCACUCACCAGGACGACGUGGUGGUGGUGGUGGUGGUGAGCGUUGUCAAGGUGAAGAAGUCGCCACUCACCAGGACGACGUGGUGGUGGUGGUGGUGGUGAGCGUCGUCAAGGUGAAGAAGUCGCCACUCACCAGGACGACGUGGUGGUGAGUGUUGUCAAGGUGAAGAAGUCGCCGCUCACCAGGACGACGUGGUGGUGGUGGUGGUGGUGAGUGUCGUCAAGGUGAAGAAGUCGCCACUCACCAGGACGACGUGGUGGUGGUGGUGGUGGUGAGUGUCGUCAACGUGAAGAAGUCGCCACUCACCAGGACGACGUGGUGGUGAGUGUCGUCAAGGUGAAGAAGUCGCCGCUCACCAGGACGACGUGGUGGUGGUGGUGGUGGUGAGUGUCGUCAACGUGAAGAAGUCGCCACUCACCAGGACGACGUGGUGGUGGUGGUGGUGGUGAGCGUCGUCAAGGUGAAGAAGUCGCCGCUCACCAGGACGACGUGGUGGUGGUGGUGGUGGUGGUGAGCGUCGUCAAGGUGAAGAAGUCACCGCUCACCAGGACGACGUGGUGGUGGUGGUGGUGGUGAGCGUCGUCAAGGUGAAGAAGUCGCCGCUCACCAGGACGACGUGGUGGUGGUGGUGGUGGUGAGCGUCGUCAAGGUGAAGAAGCGGCACCACCACAGACCCGUGGGGAUGAGGAGCAGGAGGAUGAGGAGGAUGAGGAGCAGGAGGAUGAGGA